UAGUUACAAAGAAUGAAAAAGAAAGACAGAGAAAGCAAGCUAGAUAGUUGUAGAGAGCGAAAAAGAAAGAGGGAAAGAAGGAAAGAGAAAGAGAGAGAGAGAGAGAGAGAGAUUAGACGGAGAACGGGAGGAACCGGUUAGAACCGAGUCAAAAAGGUACGAUCAAGUCGUGCCUUUCGGUUAUACCAAAGCGAUAUUUUUUAGUAAAGCAAAGCCAACUAUGGUAUUGGAUAAAAGAUGAAGGAAGGAACGAAGGAAGGAAGUAAAGGAAGAUAGGUAUUCGUUUAUGUAUUUCUAAUGCUUCCUAUAUGUAAGUAUGUACAUAUGUACGUUUCUAACUUGAACAUAAUGUUCAUGGGGAUGCGCACGAGCAACCACCAGACUUCUAUCUAUCUAUAUCUAUCUAUCUAUUUCUCUCUCGUACACAUAGAUAUAAUCAUAUAUAUAUAUAUAUAUACUCUCACUCUUUCUCUCUAUUGAUUCCAUGACCCAAAGAACCCUGAGAGAGCCGUGUGCCGAUUUGUUGGAAAGAGGAGACACGAUCGACCGUCUUAAGAGCUUUUCUCACUACACUACUACUACUACUACUACUACUCUACUAUGAGAGAUCCUUCGAGAAGGGCACUAGAUGUUUUUAUAUUGUUUAUGUAUAUAUAUAUAUAUAUAUAUAUAUAUAUAUAUAUACAUAUACAUAUGUGUGUUUACGUGUACGCGUUUGUUUAUUUCUUUCUUUGCAUCUAACAAUCGGAGAAUAUCUCGUAAGAUAAAAACUAUGUUGUGUUACUUGCGCGUCUUGUGUCCUCUCUCUCUCUCUCUCUCUCUCUCUCUCUCUCUCUCUCUGUGUCUCUUUUAUUGUAACGUAGUGUACUAUAAUAGAAAACAUUCGAGUGAAGUAUAUCAAAGGAAUCGUAUGUGUACACACGCUUUUAUGGUAUCUAAGAAUAUCUCAAAUGUUAGAUCGUGCGGAAACUUCGUGUAUACACGUUGGUUAUAUAUCUAUAUGUAUAAAAAGGUAUUGGUACCUAUAUCCAUUGCAUAGUUAUUUACUGGAUAAAAAUUGUAUUGGUUGAUCUUUUUCUCUUUUCUUUUUUUUUUUUUUUCUUCCUUUUUCUUGAUUUCUUUUCUAUUUUGUUUUCUUUUUCUUUUUUAAGAAGUCUUUCAGUUACCCAUACUAAUGAUCUUCUUUUCGUUUUACGAAACUAUUCUCCCACGUGAAUCUACCAGUGCCAAGAGCAUUUUAACGUUGGUGAUGAAACGGCGACACCGAAACGAAUCGUUUCGAGCAUCACCAAGAAGAAACGCGAUCUAUAUACUAAAAAUAUCAUACGUUUUAUAUAUAUGUAUAUAUGUACGUGUGUAUGCAUAUAUGUAUAUAUAUUAAUAUAUAUAAUAUGUGCCUAUGUAUUGAGAAGGAUGUAAAAAAAUGCUUUCGUUAUUUUAUCGCUAAGCUCUAUCUUUUUAUAUGAAAUAAAAUCAAGAUGGAGAUUUUAUUUUUAAUAAAACUUAAACGUCAUAUUUCAAAGAGGCCGAUAAAAAUGCAUGUCAUGCAUUUACCGCAAGAACGGAAAAGCAAUAAAAAUGCGUAUCGUGCGUUUUUCUUCAAAGCAACCCGACAUAGCGUGCCGAGACCGAAAGCGAGUCUUUACUUCUUUUUCACGUUUACGUAACAUCGUCAAUUAUAUUUUUUAAGUUACAAUGUAUUAUAAGUUCGUUGAUAAAAAUAAUAUAUGUCGAGAGGAAAAAUAAAAAAAGAAUAUACUGUAAAUAAAUGGUAUUAGUAUUUUUUCCAUUGAAAUUUCUGACGUCGCAAUUAAAAUAUGUAUUUUGUGAUACCAAAAAGGAUUGUAUUUGGUAUUCAUUACUGGAAAUUUUCAAUAUUAUUAACUGUGUGAGUCUGUGGCCAGUUCUAUGAUAUAUCGCAUAUGUAUAUACAUAUAUAUAUAUAUAGUUAUAUUUUAUAUAAUUCAUUUAGAUAUAUAAAAUACUUUAUUUGCAUAUAUAUAUAUAUAGAAAAUUUUAAUUAUUUUAUCAAUGUAUUGAUAACUGUGACACAAACACAUACAUUUAUAUAAAUAUACAUAGAUAAAAUAUCUAUAUGUUCGUAGGUAUAUUAUCAUCGGUUAUUAAGAAGACGAGAUAUUGAGACGAAAGGGAUGAGGGAGGGGGAGAAGUUUACUCGAGCAAAAUGAAAAUUUAGAUGCGAGAUUCUAUCUUUAGUUCGACACUGCAAAGCCGCUGGGAAUAUAGGUUACUGUCAUCGAAAUAGCCUCUGACUGAACAUUUCCACUGACCCAGUAACACGAAACUAAAUGUUAGCAGGGAAAGUAAAAUAUAUCAGCGAUUUUAUGCGUCUCUCAUUAGAAUGAAAUUUCAUUGGGGAGAAAAUAAAUGGAUAGUUCAUGAGUUUCCUCAAUCGCAAAAUAAAUAUAUAUAAACAAUGAAUAUUUUAGUCACGAGAAUUCAAUGUUUCGAGUGGAGCAUAAUAUUACGUUUUAAUUUUUUCAUAACUAUAUACAUAUGUACGUUGCCAAUGACGAAUUUACGCACAUGCAAUAUAGAAGGUCGUCUCGAGAUGCGCACUCUGUAAGACAUAUAUAUUCAUACAUAUAUAUAUAUAUAUAAACCCUUCUCUACGCGAACAAAUAUAUAAAUUUAUAUUAUAUAAUAAAUUUAAUUUAAUAUCGAUUUUAAUAUCAGUAUAGAAUUUUUAUCUCUAUAUUUAUGCCUUACAUAUGAUACAUACUUAAUUGAAUUUAGAAAGUGUAUAUAUCGUUUCAUUAUUACCAUAUAAUUGAUUUAUUUUAUAAAUACGUAGGAGUUUCUAAAAAUUAGUGACGCCCCGGAUCUUUUGAAAUCUAAGCCCGCGAGUGUAUGCACCUAAUUAUAUAUUAACCUUGAAUAUUCGACGUGCAUUAUUAAAACGGACGUAUACAAAUAUAUAAAUAAUAGGAAAACGAGGCGGAAAACUUGGUAAAUACAUAUCAAACGUGGAAUUCCAUAGAAGGAAAAUUACCAAUCGAAGUAUAGAACGAUCUGUUUAAUAAAUCGAUUUUAUCUGUUAGAUAAUAUUAGACAGGGUAGGUGGUAAAACAAGAGACGUGGAAAGUUCCAAGUAUCUUUCCACUUUGCAUUCUAGCCCUCAAAAGUUCUUCUCUCUCUCUCCUCCCCCUAGUGAUAGCAUGAUUUAACCAGUUGAUUUUGACUAUCCGUAAGAAAUAGACAUGUAACUUUUCUUCUUUGCAAAUACAAUGAAGAAAACGUUUAUCCAAGUGGUGGAAUAUUGAAACUCGUUUUACUUAUAGAUGGAUAUAUGAAAGAUAGAGAGAGAGAGAGAGAGAAAGAGAGAGAGAGAGAGAGAGAAAAACAGAAGUAAAAGAAGUAGAAGAAAAAUAGAUAGAGUUCAGCGUGGCUCAUUUGUAAGCGAACUUCAUUGCGAUACAUGUACCUAAACGUUGUCGAGUUUACCUGGAACGUUGUGAAAACAUACUUGAGAAGAAGAGAAUAAAAGAGAGAAAAAAGAAAAAAAAGGAAGAAACAAGGAACUCUUGCCUUCUAUUAUACAAAAGAUAAAUUCGACAGACAUCUGCUACGGCUUUACUACUCCUUUACACCUGCAUUAUACAAUCAAACUGCAGCUGUUUCUUGAUUUAUCACCGAACUUAUCUACUAAUCUGCUAUUCCCACCGAUUCCAAGCGCAACCCCCCCGCCACGUAAAGGGGUUGAAUGGGAAGGAGGGCACGUGGCUUCGUUUUUCUCAUUCGUAUCAUGUAAUGAAAAUUUAUUAAUAAAAGGAAUACAUUCAAGUAA